rnacentral:rRNA from 1 species
UACGUAGGUGGCAAGCGUUAUCCGGAAUUAUUGGGCGUAAAGCGCGCGCAGGUGGUUUCUUAAGUCUGAUGUGAAAGCCCACGGCUCAACCGUGGAGGGUCAUUGGAAACUGGGAGACUUGAGUGCAGGAGAGGAAAGUGGAAUUCCAAGUGUAGCGGUGAAAUGCGUAGAGAUUUGGAGGAACACCAGUGGCGAAGGCGACUUUCUGGCCUGUAACUGACACUGAGGCGAGAAAGCGUGGGGAGCAAACAGG